rnacentral:tRNA from 1 species
UGAAGUAUAGUUUAGUGGUAGAAUGCUUACCUAGCAUGUGUGAGAACUUGGGUUCAAUUCCUGGUAGUUCAA